GAUGAACGCUGGCGGCGUGCCUAAUACAUGCAAGUCGAGCGAACAGACGAGGAGCUUGCUCCUCUGACGUUAGCGGCGGACGGGUGAGUAACACGUGGAUAACCUACCUAUAAGACUGGGAUAACUUCGGGAAACCGGAGCUAAUACCGGAUAAUAUAUUGAACCGCAUGGUUCAAUAGUGAAAGACGGUUUUGCUGUCACUUAUAGAUGGAUCCGCGCCGCAUUAGCUAGUUGGUAAGGUAACGGCUUACCAAGGCAACGAUGCGUAGCCGACCUGAGAGGGUGAUCGGCCACACUGGAACUGAGACACGGUCCAGACUCCUACGGGAGGCAGCAGUAGGGAAUCUGCCGCAAUGGGCGAAAGCAUGACGGAGCAACGCCGCGUGAGUGAUGAAGGUCUUCGGAUCGUAAAACUCUGUUAUUAGGGAAGAACAAAUGUGUAAGUAACUAUGCACGUCUUGACGGUACCUAAUCAGAAAGCAACGGCUAACUACGUG
rnacentral:rRNA from 1 species